CCAAAACAAACGAGGCGUCGGCGCUAGAGACACAGCUGGCGAAUAAUAAUAAAAUACAAAAAUACGCGCAAAGUGAGCGUCCUGUCUGCUACAAUCUGGAGAAAAUGAGUCUCUCCACCAGUAAACAAGUCCUGCCAGUCACCUCAGCUGGGCCGCACGUGGUCGGCGGGAAAACCCGGCCCGGACCGCCGCGGCGGCGCUGCUUUCCCGGAGUCAGGAUCCGGAGUGAGCGCGGAACAGCGGCGUUCUUUGUCAGGGAGGACGCCGAGCCCCCCGCCACAAGCUGGAGCCAAAAGAUCAGCAAGUACAAAGAAAAUAUACACUAAAUGUAUUUGUGUUUGCCAGUUAAUACAAAUAAACUAUACGUUAUCAUUUUAAA